GCAUCGAUGGCUCAGUGGUAGAAUGCUCGCCUGCCACGCGGGCGGCCCCGGGUUCGAUUCCCGGCCGAUGCA